rnacentral:rRNA from 1 species
AACGAACGCUGGCGGCAUGCCUAACACAUGCAAGUCGAAUGAGACCUUCGGGUCUAGUGGCGCACGGGUGCGUAACGCGUGGGAACCUGCCCUUAGGUUCGGAAUAACUCCCCGAAAGGGGUGCUAAUACCGGAUAAUGUCUUCGGACCAAAGAUUUAUCGCCUUUGGAUGGGCCCGCGUUGGAUUAGCUAGUUGGUAGGGUAAAAGCCUACCAAGGCGACGAUCCAUAGCUGGUCUGAGAGGAUGAUCAGCCACACUGGGACUGAGACACGGCCCAGACUCCUACGGGAGGCAGCAGUGGGGAAUAUUGGACAAUGGGCGCAAGCCUGAUCAAGCAAUGCCGCGUGAGUGAUGAAGGCCUUAGGGUUGUAAAGCUCUUUUACCCGGGAUGAUAAUGACAGUACCGGGAGAAUAAGCUCCGGCUAACUCCGUG